UGGAAACGGCGCUGUCAUAGCAGCCUCUCGCUAGCGGCGAGCCAGCUGUGCUGCCAGGCGGAGCUGGGUCAGGAUGUUCAGACCUCCGCGCACCCCUCCCCACCUGCCCGCACCUCGGGGAGGGGGUGGUGGCCGGCCCGCGAGGGAGGGCGGGCGCUAAUUGGAUUGGAACUCUCCCGAACCGCAUCACUGCGCCUCCCUGGGGGAGGGGAGGGGGAGGCUGCAGACUGUCUUUGUGAUCGGUCUCGGCCUCUCCCUCCCUGCAGCCUCGCCCUGACCUGGUCUUCACUGGCCUCUGCCCACCCCGUCGCUGUCCUAGGGCACAGUGGCAAGCUCACUGUACAAUGGAGGCGGCAGACAAGGAUCAGGCCAUCACCAAGAUGGGAUUCCGCCUUGAUGAGGAAGGGGCUGCAAAAACUUCCAAAGGGAAAAAGGAGUCCUCGUGCUGGAGCAGAUUGGAAACCACCGAGCCAGGCUGUCUCGGUGGCGUGUCAUCCCCCUUGGCAUAGGAGAAUCAUGAGACCUGAGAUCAAGUUCCAGCUCUUCCCCUGGCUGGUUAGAUGAUCUUGGGGGCAGCCCCUUGUGACUUGGAGAGCUUUGGUUUCCUCAUCCUGGAGCAGAGAUCAUGAAAAUUAUUUGGCAAGAUGGUCACACAGAUUAAAUGAGAUAAUGAAAGGGCUUUGAAAACUGUGAA